rnacentral:rRNA from 1 species
UACGUAGGGUGCGAGCGUUAAUCGGAAUUACUGGGCGUAAAGCGUGCGCAGGCGGUUUUGUAAGCCAGAUGUGAAAUCCCCGGGCUUAACCUGGGAAUGGCAUUUGGGACUGCAAGGCUUGAGUUUGGCAGAGGAGACUGGAAUUCCUGGUGUAGCAGUGAAAUGCGUAGAUAUCAGGAGGAAUACCGAUGGCGAAGGCAGGUCUCUGGGCUGAAACUGACGCUCAUGCACGAAAGCGUGGGGAGCAGACAGG